CCCACAAUUGUGCAAACCAAUCACAGUGUGUCUUCACACACUUAAAACUUCACACAAACAACCCUCACUACCCACCUCCCUCUCGAUUAUUUUUCAGUAAACAUAAAGAACUCAUGACACACACACACACAUAAAAUACCUCCCUCUCUCUCACUAUUACCUAAACAAACACAGGAAUCAACUCCUCACAAAACAAAACCCAACCCAGCCACACCCCUCCCCUCCCUCUCGAUCUUUUCUCGGUGAAGACAAGCACCCGACCGGCGAGACCACCGGCGGAGCUCCGGUUGGUCAGGUGGUGCCGGUGAGGCCCCCAUGACUCCCCCGUCUUCUUUCUUGUCUGACGGAUCGGACCACCGCCACCACCACCGUCUAGUGGUGGUGCGGCGACUAACAAACAGAGAGAGAGAGAGAGAGAGACAGAAGGAAUGGAGAGGAGAGAGAGAUAACCGGUGGGGUGGUGAGCGGUGGUAACUUCUCGGACCGGUGGUCCUCACCUCGAACUAGUGGUCCUUGUCUCGGACCGGUGGUCCUUGACAUUAUCCGUCGCGUUUCGCGAUUUAUUUUUCGUUCGGGUCUCGUAAAGUUUGGUUUCGGUUCAAAGCUCGAUCUCAGUCAGGGACGCCCGUUCGGUUAACUCGGUGGUGGUUCGGUUCAGUCGCGUAUGAGGUUCAACAGAUCUUGGUUCGAGAGUUCAAGUCAGCCGCGGUUCAGGAAGUUCGAGUCACGGUUCGGUUUUUGGGGUUUGGGUGACGUCUCGGCUCGGGUCAACAGUCAAAGUCCGUCAACGGGUCAGCUUGGUUCGGGUCAGAUUAUGAAGCGGUUUGGUCGACUCGGUCAAACCGAGUCAACCCGGUCAAACACGGUCAACCCGAGUCAACUCAGUUGACUCGGUCGACUUGCAGCAAAAGCGGGGCGAAGACUCGGUAAAGAAUUUAGGAUACGUACAGUACGUUAAUUAUUCCUUAUUUUAUUACGUGAUACGAGCUCGAACUGGCCGAUUACAAUUUACGUUUGUUAUAUAUUUGACAAAAUACAUAUGGUUUAAUUGAUAUUGAUUAUAUUGUCGAAUUUUGAUAAAAUGACGACAACUUGUGUUGCAUUUCUAAGACAAGGCACGGUUGGAAUAGGAGGACCAUGAAG
rnacentral:lncRNA from 1 species